GACGGGGGAGGCAAGCAUUGUCCGGAAUUAUUGGGCGUAAAGAACACGUAGGCGGUUUUUAAAGUCAAUUGUGAAAACCUUGGGCUCAACCCGAGGAUUGCAGUUGAUACUGGAAAACUAGAGUACAGUAGAGGAAAGUGGAAUUCCUGGUGUAGCGGUGAAAUGCGCAGAUAUCAGGAAGAACACCAGUGGCGAAAGCGGCUUUCUGGACUGUUACUGACGCUGAGGUGUGAAAGCUAGGGGAGCGAACAGG
rnacentral:rRNA from 1 species